rnacentral:rRNA from 1 species
GAUGAACGCUGACAGAAUGCUUAACACAUGCAAGUCUUUGGCGAAGCUGUGCUCGCACAGCCUAGCCAAGGCGGACGGGUGAGUAACGCGUAAGGAACUUGCCCUGCAGUCAGGGAUAACAGACGGAAACGACUGAUAAGACCUGGUAAAGUCAGGCGGACUCAUGUCCAGCCUGAUGAAAAGAGAUGCUGCAGGAGAGCCUUGCGUCCUAUUAGCUUGUUGGUGGGGUAACGGCCCACCAAGGCGAUGAUAGGUAGCCGGCCUGAGAGGGUGGACGGCCACAAGGGGACUGAGAUACGCCCCUUACUCCUACGGGAGGCAGAAGUGGGGAAUAUUGGACAAUGGGGGCAACCCGGAUCCAGCAAUUCUGUGUGCACGAGGAAGGUUUUCGGAUUGAAAAGUGAUUUCAGCAGGGAAGAAAAAAAUGACGGUACCUGAAGAAGAAGCGACGGCUAAAUACGUG